CAUGUCUCCAACCUAUAUCACCUAUGUAACAGGUCACAGGGCAGGAGCACCACAUGUGCAUGGUCUUUACAACUAUUUGAUUUCCACGUCAAGACAUAGUAUCUUACACAGGCCGGUUCAAGCCUGCACAGCCAUUGAACUACUUAAAGUCUGUCAUUCCUACCUUCUUAUCUACUGUGGGAGUCGCCUUGCUUGGAUUGGCACUCAUCAUUGCUAAUAGCAGGAGUGGUAAGAACUUAAAAUAAUGACCAUGGGUUCAAUCUAAAACCCAGCUUUAGUUGUAGGAAAUAAUUCUUUUAGCCUCAGAAGUAUUUGAACUACAUAGUUAUUAAGUUACACUAUAUUUUUUUAAAGUAUCUUUUGAAACAGCUGUAAAACACCUUGGGUUGAUAUUGAAGAAAAGCAGGAAAUAAAAGAAAGUUAAGAUGAAUUUCGAACAUAAUUUCAAAUGUUAAAUAAAACAAAUAUAUGUUUUUUAUUUCCUUUUUUCAUUUUCUAGAAAACUGCAUUUCCAAAAGACCAAAAGCAAACAUCACUGGUUUGCAGGGUGAUUAUGACGACACCUACAGCGUUGUCACCUAUAAAUUCAACAGUGUGACAACAGCAGAGAAGCUGCAUCAGUCCUGAGAGAGACUGCUCACAGCCAUCAAAGUUCAUUUGAAAUCCAAGAGUUUUUUUUCUUUGCAUUUAUUUGUGAAUUUUUGUUACGUUAAAUUUGAUCAUUAUGUCCAAAGUUCACGUUUGUUUUAAUUUAUUUAGGCCUUAAACACAAACAUGAUUGUACCAAAGUUUUCUGAGAUGAUUUAAAAAUAUGAAUUACACAAAUGAGAGAUUCUACAAUGCUCUGACAAACAUGAUUACUUUGACACUCUUUACUUUGACUUUCACAUACUUUAUAUAGUGACACACACACACACACACACACACACACAUGCCCACACACACACACACACACACACACACACACACACACACACACACACACACACACACACAGACACAGACACAGACACACACACACACACACACACACACACACACACACACACACACACACACACACACACACACACACAGACACACACACACACACAGACACACACACACACACACACACACACACACACACACACAGUUUAUCAACCAAACAACACGUACUCGUCUUUUUUAAGCAUUGAGUCUCUGUGUGGUCAAUCCGAAAAAUAAAACCGUAAAGAUAAUUUAAACAGGAUGUGAAGUGUGUGUCUGUGGCCUGUAUGAUAAUGUCAUUCCCUUCUACAGCUACCUGUGGCUUUCGAGAACAUUUUGUUAAGUUACAGUGAGUUUGUCACACAGUCAAACACACAAACUUCAUCAUGGCUGGACGCAUGCUGUUUGUCAUCCUUGUGUGUAAGUUAAACCUCUUAUUGAUUUAUUCAUUAUUAAUGUAGGAUAUUACAAACUUAUGCAGGCUAGAAAUGAGGUUGUUUGCUUUUGAUAAUCCACAUGUCGAUUGUUUAAAACUGAGUGUGUUUUAUGAACAUGUAGUUCAGUGAAUUUCAUACUCAUGGAGUGUCCAUGUGUUCAGAGACCUGGUGAAGGCUUAGUGAGCAAACAGGUCGUACAGUUAGAAAGCUUCUGAAAUGGAUUAAUAUUUAUUAUCAUUUUUAUAAAGUGUAAUAUGUAAUGUGUUGUUGUUGCCUACGUUUCCAUGUGCUGAUUGUGA